AUGGAUGAAGCCACAGGGUCAAUAUCAUUUAGGAAAAUGGCUGGUGUUGUCAGGGACAUGUAUGCAGGAGUAAAUCUGACUGAACUGACGAUAAGACAGAGAGAAACACACAGAAGAAAUAUGUUAAGAGAGAAUGUUAAUGUUCUCUUCAGAAUAUAUAGAACAGUCAGGACCGUACGGAACUUGCAUGUACUGUUAUGCAGACCGAGCCACGAACCUGAAACGAUGACUACAAUUCUCCGGACGCACAUCAAUGACACUAAGUUACAGGUGUCUCUACAGCUGACAUCCAGAAUGGAAACAAGAAUUACGAGAGUGGAGACAAUAUCAAUUAGUGGGAAUACAGAUCAGUUGGAAACCUUAUGUAACUCUUUCGCUGACCUGUUCCCACAUGCUUUCGGAGUUGAGGAAUAGGAGGCUGAAAAUCAAGACAUCAAAGAAGAAGAAUAAGAAGAAGAUGAUGUCAUAACACAACACGGAUUCUCCUCUCAUCUGAUUUGAAAAAUAAUUCUACUCACUUUUUCUGUGUCAAAGCCAUCUGCCUGUCUUAGAAAAACAAUCCACUGUUUGCACCACUGUUUCUAAUGAGCAUGUCAUAAUAAAUCAUAUUUGAUUGAGACAACUGUGUGAUGAUGAUUUUUCAUAUCAGACAGAGUGGAGGAAAUUAUUUAAUGACCUACUAUGUUGUUUAAUAAGACCUACUAUGCUGUUUUACUUGGACAAUUGUUAGUAUAUUGCUGAUACAGGCUUGUCAUGUGACUUAGCUGUUUGGGGUGCGACUGCAGUAUGUGACAUCCUGUUUUCACUACUGUGUUGUGACAUGGUACGGGUGGUAUGCAGAAGAUAGUCCUAUUUGGUAAAAGACCAAGUCCAUAUUAUGGCAAGAACAGCUCAAAUAAGCAAAGAGAAAUGACAGUCCAUCAUUACGUUAAGACAUGAAGGUCCAUCUGGAAAAUUUCAAGAAGUACAGUCGCAAAAACCAUCAAGCGCUACAAUGAAACUGGCUCUCAUGAGGACCACCACAAGAAAGGAAGACCCAGAGUUACCUCUGCUGCAGAGGAUAAG
rnacentral:lncRNA from 8 species